AUGUCCCUAAUACAGAGCUGGGUCUUCUGCCUUCUCAUUCCCACCUGUUUCCCCCAGAAGGCUGUGAUCACCCAAGAGCCGAGAUCCAUUAUUACCGGAACCGGUUCUGCUGCCCUGAUGAGAUGUGAGCAGGAGACGACAGACUAUGACAACAUGUACUGGUACCAGAACCAGGAGGGGCAGGGGCUCCGGCUCAUCUCCUCACAGCUCCGGGGGUACAGUGCCACGUAUGAAGAGGGGUACAGAACCGGGUUCCACGUGAACAGAACCGCGAGGGACAAGAUCAGUUUCCUGGAGAUCCAAGUCCCAAAGCGCCAGGACCAGGGGGUGUAUCUGUGUGCGGCCAGUGAUGGCACAGUGACUCGCCCCAACCGGGGCUCUUUCUACUAACCUACCCCCCCGCUGACUGUGUCACACACAGGC